AGAAACCAAGUUCAGUGAGGUGCCUGGAAUCCAGUGGCGUACGGAGCUUACUUGGCAAGUGGAAGGCUGUGUGUUCCAACCCUGGUGCUGCUCGUCUGCUGAGGUGAUCCUGCCUGCCCCAAAGCCUGGGCUCCUGCUGCUGAUGAAGUUUGAGGCAGACUGCAUGUUAGGAGAUCUGGCUGGCCAACAAGAAGUUAAGUCAAGCUGAUUACACUGACUUGGGUUUCAGCCCAGCAUCUCAGGUGGAAACGGCAGAUACAUUCCCCCGUAUCUACAUGCUUGCUGAACUUUGCACGUGGGGCACUAACACGCAGAUGGGAACCUAGCUAAUGCGUUCUCACAGGCUCUGCAGUCAUACCGACCUGAGUUUGGAGCAUACGCCAGUACUUUAUUUACUGUGUUACUUGAAGGAAGUUUGUUAGUUUUCUGAGAUCAACAAAAACAAAAAACAAAA